rnacentral:tRNA from 1 species
GCCGGGUUGGCGGAAUCGGUAGACGCCGAGGACUUAAAAUCCUCUGAGGUACCCCCUCGUGCGGGUUCGAGUCCCGCAUCCGGCA